UGUUGCCUUCUAAACUACGCUGCGACGGGUCUCUCCGGCUUUUCUUGGUACCAUAUGUCGAACAAGUGGCUUCCCCUAUACAUAGCUCGACCGUACCUCCUCUACAUUCAUCCAUUUCUCCGGAGUUCUUCAGGCUAAUCAGCAUCAAACUCAGCCACCAACACCGGGCAGCUACCACUUCAUCAGUAUAAAGACUAAGGUAAUCAGAUCCUAUACAGUACUAUCAUUAACACCAUAUCUGCCGGUUUUCUUUUGAAUUUUACUGCCAGUACUAACACUAUGAUGAUGCUUAAGCUCUUCCUCUCGCCGACAACCCAGAUGUCAAGCAAAAGUUGUGUCUCCGAUGGUGAUGAGGACCUGGAGGCUCAACUUUCACCCUCAACCGCAGCUGGUAACCCUUGCAGGAAUCGAUGGCGCAGUAUUUUCUUGAAGCUACAGGCACAUCAGAUUUUCAUUUCAAUAUUAAGUGAUCCAAGGAGGUCCAUUUCUCUGGCUGAUAUCUCUUCAGCUUCAUUUUACGCCCCCGUCCGCAGCUCUGAUGGAGACGAUUAUGAAGUAAGUUCCUCAUUUCAGUAGCACAAUAUAAUUACUACCAAUCGGUUCAACCGUUCAUCAGUCAUGUCUUCGUGAAGUUCCUGUUUUUGAAUCGCCGCUACGGUCCGACCAUUCUUUUUUAACUGGUGACGGUUUCUCCGGUGAAACACUUUCCUCCUCCUCCUUCUUCUUCUUCCCUUUUUAUUAUUAUUAUUAUUAUUUACUUUUUUGACUUUUUUGUGUGGACAUGGACGAUAGCGAAUCUCGUUUUUUUUUUUUUUUUUUUUUUUUUUUUUAAUUUUUUUUAAUUUUUUUUUUAAAUUUUUUUAAUUUUUUCAUUCUACUUGUAUAUUUAUUUUUUGAAUGAGAUAUUCCGUUGAAACACAAAAAAAAAAAAAAUUUCCCAUUUUGAAUUAUUUUGACUCUUAUUUAUUUACUAAAAAAUGAAAGAAAUAUUUAAUUAAAAGAUUUAAAUACUGUUGAAAUUAAAAAUUGAACUCCUUUAAUCAUUUUUUUUUUUAAAUUUUGACUUAUUGUUCUUUACAUUGACAAUAGCGAAUCUUUUUUUUUUUUUUUUUUUGAUUAUUUUAUUUUAUUUUAUUUUAUUCUACCUUGUCUUUUUAUUUUUUGAAUGAGGUUUUGGUUGAAACACAAAAAAAUUCCCAUUUUGAAUUAUUUUUACUCUUAUUUAUUUACUGAAAAAUGAAAGAGAUAUUUUAUUAAAAGAUUUAAAAUACUCUUGAAAUUUAAAAUUGAGCUCCUUUAAUCAUUCUUUAAAAAAGAAGAAGAAUUUUUUUUGACUUUUUUGUUCUUUACAUUGACAUCUCUUUUUUAAUUUUUAAUUUUUUAUUCUACCUUAUAUAUUUAUUUUUUGAAUGAGAUAUUUGAUUGAAACACAAAAAAAAAUUCACAUUUUGAAUUAUUUUUACUCUUAUUUAUUUACUAAAAAAUGAAAGAAAUAUUUGAUUAAAAGAUUUAAAAUACUCUUGAAAUUAAAAAUUGAGCUCCUUUAAUCAUUCUUAAAAAAAAAAAAAAAAAAAAAGUGGGUUCUACCUCAUUAAUUUUAAAAUAUUUAAAAAAAAUCCAAAUUUUAUAAAUCAGUUUUAUCUUUAUCAAUUUAAAAUAUAUAUAUAUAUAUAUAUAUUUACAUUUAUAUAAUUAUUUUCUAAAAUAAGCUUUUAACAUAAUAAUAUUAAUUAAAAUUAUUUAAAAAAUAAUAAUUUAUCCUUUUAAGUUAAUAAAAGCAUCUUACAAAUAAAUAUAUCAUAAAUUUUUAUUAUAUGAUAUGGGGAACCAUACCAAUCAUUGUGAAAAAAUUAUAUAGGGUCUUUAAGUGAUAAAUAAAAUCAAAGUUGAACUCCUUUAAUCAUACUUAAAAAAAAAUCAUUAUUAUUAUUAUUUUUACCUUUUUUGUUCUUUACAACCACGAUAGCCAAUCUUAUUCUUUUUUUUUUUUUUUUUCAUUCUACGUUGUAUAUUUAAUUUUUGAAUGAGAUAUUUGGUUGAAACAGAAAGAAAUUUCCCAUUUUGAAUUAUUUUUACUCUUAUUAAUUUACUAAAAAAUGAAAGAAACAUUUGAUUAAAAGAUUUAAAAUACUCUUGAAAUUAAAAUUUGAGCUCCUUUAAUCAUUCUUAAAAUAAAAAAAAAAUUGGUUUUGCCUCAUUAAUUUAUAAUAUAUAAAAAAAACUCAAAUUUUAUAAAUAAAUUUUAUCUUUAUCAAUUUAAAAUAUAUAUAUUUUCAUAAUUUAGAUAAUUAUUUUCUAAAAUAACCCUUUCACAAAUAAUAUUAACGAAAAUUAUUAAAAAAAAUAAUUUAUCACUUUAAGUUAAUAAAAAUAUCUUACAAAUAAACAUAUCAUAAAUUUUUAUUAUAUGAUACAGGGUACCAUACCAAUUAUUGUGAAAAAAUUAUGUAGGAUCUUUAAGUGAAAUAAAAUCUUUUCUUAUAUUCUAGUUAAUAAUGAUUUUAUAUUUUACAUUAUAUAAAUCUUUUCAUCUUCCUAUAUUUUUUUAAUAAAAUUAAAUAAAUUUUUAUUAGUUGACAUCAACAAUAAAAUAUUUUUUUUUUAAAAAAGUUAAAGAGCUAAAAAUAUAAAAAUAAAAUUUUGACUUUCACUUUGUUAAAAAUAUAGAUAUUCAAUAGGAUUCAAUAUUUUUUUUUAAUUUUUUUUUUUGUUUCAAUUAUAUUUAUUUUUUAAAUAUUUUAGUUUUAAUUAUAUUUUUAUUUUUAAAAUUUUUUAUUUUAUUAUUGUUCAAUAUUUAUAAGGAGGUUUGUUUGAGGAGAGAAAAACAUUCUAAAGAGUUACAAAAAACAAAACUAAAAGGAAGAUUAGUUUUUUUACAAUUAAGCAUCUUUGUGUUUAUUUCAGUCAUUUAAGGUAAUAAUUAUUUGAACUAUGAAAAAAUACAUGUAUUUUAAAACAUUUUUAAAUGGAUGAAGAUAAAACUAAUAUAUAAAAUUUGAUUUUUUUUUCUAUAUAUUUUUUCAAAUUUUAAAUUAUUAUCCUUUUUGGAGAUUUUUACCCUUUUUUGUUUCCUCACAAAUGUCAUUUUCCUCUUAUUCCUAAUUCNNNNNNNNNNNNNNNNNNNNNNNNNNNNNNNNNNNNNNNNNNNNNNNNNNNNNNNNNNNNNNNNNNNNNNNNNNNNNNNNNNNNNNNNNNNNNNNNNNNNAAUUCAUUUCCUUCCUAUUUUUGAUAUAUAGUUAACUCUCCAAGUCUCUCAAGGGAUAAAGAUCUACCACAAUUCUUAUAUCUCUCUCUUUUUUCUUUUUUUUUCUUAUUAAGGAUGAUCAUAUUUUUCAUCUUUCUCUUCAUUUUUAGUUGAGGUUUUUGUUGUAUAUUUUUUUAGUUGUUUUUUCUUAGGGUUUUUUUUUGUAAUUAUUUUUUGUUCGAGUUUUUUGUCGGAAUUUUUUGCUAUUGUUUUUGUCUAGGAUUUUUAAAGCUAUUUUUAGCUGAGAUUUUCUGUAUUUAUUUGUUUUGUUAGAGUUUGUAAUUCUUUUGUUGGGCCUUUUAGCAUUGUUUUUUGUUAGGGUUUUCAGUAAAAGGAUUGAUAUAAAUAUAAAUUACUAGAAGAAUAUUAUCCUAACACAAAUCUUCUAAAAUUCUUAAAAUUAAAAGACUUAUAAUAAUAUAAAAUUUUGAUAUGACAUUUGAAGCUAUAAUUUUUUGCUCCAAUAGAUAGAUCCACUUGCACUUCUUCUACACACACAUACAUUCAUAAACUAUACCCUUAAUAAUAUUUUUAAAUAAAUUGUAAAUUUCAAAUAUUUUUUAAUUAUGUAAUUAUUUAAUAUAAGUUUAUAAUAUUUUAAAAUUUUAAUUAUAAUAUAAAUACAUAUUAAGACUAAAAUAAUUGAGGAUGAUUUUGCAUUUAAUAUCAUAAAAUAAAUACUAUUGGUUAAGAAUUUGAGUUAUUUAUUUUACAAAGUUAUAAGAAGUGAGUUUUCAUCUCAAGAUCAUUUUUCUAUUUUUAUAAGAAGAAUAUUUGAUUAUUGUAUGUUAUAUUUUUAUCCAUUAAUAAUACAAAAAAAAAUAUAUUUUUUCCUAUAUCUAAAUCUUAGAAAUUUUACACAAAUAAAAUAAAAGUAAAAAAAUAAAAAAUAAAUAAAAAUAAUAAUCCAAGUGCAGAAAAUGAAAAUAGGGAACUACGAAUGUGACAUAGAUAUUAAGAUUAAAAAAAAAAGUAAUUUAAAUACGAAAAAUGUAACAUGGGUACUAAUGUAUAGAAAAAUGCAAUCUAAUAACAAAAAAAAUGUCUUAGGUAACACAAAUAAUAUAAUCUUGGUGCUAAGCUAUAAGAAGUGACCUAGAUAUAGAGUUUUAUUUUAUUUUUAUAAUUAUUUUUAAUUUCAAUAAUAUAUUUAUGAUUUUAUAUACUACGGUUCCACCGGUCUAAUGAUCAUCCCUUCCUGAAAACAAUUUAAGGACAACUCAUAGGUGAAAAAAAGCAUUCACCUCACAGCCAUAGUAGUUGUCUCUCAUCAGUCAUCACCAGCAGCUGCUGCCGCUCCUCUUCACUGUCACUGCCACCCUUGCACUGUCCCUUCUCCAAGCUGUCAUUGGACAUGUUCAUCUCAUUCUUCUUGCUCCCAAACAAAAAUGGUGCCGGAAGUGCCAGGUUAAAUUUUGAGUGGCUCUAUACAAUUGUUUUGUUAUGCUGUGUUUAGGUGUUCACUGUGGGUGUGGUUAGUUCUGCGAGAGAGAAGGGUUGGGCUGUUUGGUUAUUGGUGCACAACAUAAAAACAAUUUUAGAAGGAUUGUCCAAUGGAUUGAAUUGAAACUGAGCAGACUUUAAAAGCUCCCUUAACUCAACCCCACAUGGAACGAACACCGCCAACCCUCUACCACCCUAUUCCUUUAUAAUGUGCUGCCUACCAUUUUGCAGGACUCAGAGCCAAAUGGGACUGUGGGAAUCUUGCCUCCAUCACCUCAAGUCUCUCUAGAUAUCCCGUCUGAUGCGGGUGAUGUCCGCAGUAGCACUAAUGCAAAUCUCCAACAUGCCAACAUUGCCACAAUUGUUAAGAACAAGGAUUUGGAUUCCCUAAUUAAGUUUGGCGGUGUCCCAGGGAUUGCAGAGGCUCUUCACACCGACUUAGAGAAGGGGAUCCCAGGUGACGAGCAGGAUCUUCAUCUUCGACGCUUAGCCAGCCCAAUCUCAAAAACAGAGCCAUCACCAACCUUCUUUCAGUGCCUCUUAAAAGCUUGCAACAGCUACAUCAUUUUCCUCCUUUUGUUGUCGAUGGCGUUGUACCUCGGCUUUGGGAUCAAGAAGGAAGGCCUAGAGACUGGUUGGUACGAAGGAUUCAUUAUACUUGUUGCCAUCAUCAUAAUCGUUGUGUGUCAUUCAAUUCGUGAUUUCUGGCGUGAAACCCAACAUAGGUCGUCAGGAAAACACGAGCUCUCAGAAAAGAUGGAAACAGUGGUCGAAGUUUUAAGAGAGGGAUCCCAGAAGAAACUCUCCUCCACCUCUGACAUAGUGUUGGGUGACAUACUAUGUAUCAAAAGGGGAUAUCUUGUUCCGGCUGAUGGUUUACUUGUACCAGGGGAAGCAUUAGAACUGGAUGAUCAAUCAGAGUCCAUCAUUCAUGACCGAAACCCAUUUAUGUUUUAUGGUGCAAAAGUGAUUAGCGGAAAUGGUCGCAUGCUUGUCACAUCAGUUGGCAUGAACACAGAGUGGGGUGAGAUGAUGAGGAAAGUAAUCCAAGCUCCUAAUAAGACACCUUUACAAGCUCAACUAGACAAGGUGAACACUUGGACAGAAAUUUUUGGGCUUCUCAUCUCUAUCCUCAUUAUUGUAGUGCUAUUCCUGCGCCUUACACUUGAAAAUGAAGAUGAUAUGCCGGGGCUCCCAUCGUUGAAGGGAAAACCAUCCACAAUCAAGGACUUGAUGGAUGCGGUCAAGAGGAUUAUUGUGAAACCAACAGGGCAGCUAAGUAUGUUGAUAACCUNNNNNNNNNNNNNNNNNNNNNNNNNNNNNNNNNNNNNNNNNNNNNNNNNNNNNNNNNNNNNNNNNNNNNNNNNNNNNNNNNNNNNNNNNNNNNNNNNNNNUAAUAGAAGGAUAUCCUCUUGUUAUCAUCGUUUCACUCGCAUAUGGGAAUAAGAAAGCACUGUCUGGAAAUGCCCUUGUUAAGGAAUUAUCAGCUUGUGCAAUCUUGGGAUCAGCAACAGCCAUCUGCACUGACAAAAUUGGGGGGCUAACAACGAGCACAGUACAAGUGAAAACCUGCAGGAUUGGUGGAGAAGAUAUCAAUGGCGACUCUGUCAUACAUCCAGAUGUAAUUGAUGCUCUGUGUUAUGGUAUCUACGCACUAGUUCUGGACCAAGAGAAUCCUUGUGGCUUAGAAGAGGAAGAGGUUGUUUCCUGGGCUAAAUCCAGGUUAGGCAUGAAGCAAGAUAUUUUAAAGCAGAGUUGCACCUUUGUUGGGGCUGAAGAAUUGAACUCCAAUGAGGGAGGAAGUCAAGUGUUGCUGAGGAAGACCCGGGGCAAUGAAACAGUUGAGUGCUUGCACUGGAAAGGCCCUGCAACAACUAUACUGACCCAGUGUUCAUCCUACUAUGACAGUGAAGGGAAAAAAAAGGACAUGGGAGAGAAGAGGAUGGAUUUUGAAAAAUUUAUCCAGCAGAUGCAGUCCAAAAAACUCAAAACCAUGGCAUUUGCCUACAAGGAAAUUAAUGACUCAAGUGAAGAAAACAGCUUAAUCUUGAUAGGACUAUUGAGUCUGAGGGACACAGAUUGGACAGAGACAAAAGAAGCUGUGCAAGCUUGUAGAAAUGCUGGGGUUAAUAUCAAGAUGGUCUCAAGUGACAACAUUUCAGAGCUGCGAGACAUGGCUGUUCAGUGUGGUAUGUCUGACCCCAAUUCUCUGGUUCUUGAUGGUAAUGCAUUUCGGAAUUACACCGAGGAAGAGAGGAUGGAUAGGGUAGAUCGAAUCUCCAUCAUGGGAAACGCCCUUCCCUCUGACAAGCUUCUUUUAGUGGAGUGUUUGAAGCAAAAGGGUCACACGGUAGCUGUCAUUGGAGCCAGGACAGAUGAGACUCCAGCCAUAAGACAAGCUGAUGUAGGGGUGACAAUGGGGACGUGGAGCACCAAAAUGGCCAAAGAGACUUCUGAUAUCGUCAUCUUUGACGGCAAUUUUAGUUCCCUUGUGACCAUCAUGAGGCACGGAAGGUGUGCAUAUGAAAACGUCCAAAAGUACAUGCAGCAUGAGCUCACCAUGGUCAUCGCAGGGUUGCUGGUAACCUUCAUCACCAUGGGGCAUUCGGGGGAUGCCCCAAUAACUGCAAUUCAACUCGCCUUCGGGAGUGUGAUUGUGGGCAUCCCGGGGGGAUUGGCUCUGUUGACAGAGCCACCAGCGGAGAAACUAAUAGGCAAGCAACCAGUAGGACAAGGUGGAACACUGAUAACCUGGGCCAUGUGGAGAAACAUAAUCACUCAAGCCUCAUACCAGGUUGCCAUUUUAGUGACAAUCCAAUUCAAGGGGAAGGUCAUCCUAGGCAUCAGCCCCAAGGUCAAUAAGUCCUUGGUGUUCAACAGUUUUGUUCUCUGCCAGGUUUUCAAUCUAUUCAAUUGCAGAAAGAUGGAGAAGAAGAACAUGUUCCAGGGCAUCAAGAAGAACCUCUGGUUUUGGGUGGCUGUGGCAGCUAUUAUGGGGUUGCAGGCAGCCUUCAUUGAGAUAGAGCAUUGGGUUGGGGGCAGUGCGAGGCUGAACUGUGCACAAUGGGGCACAUGCCUUCUCAUUGGAAUGGUUUCAUGGGUCAUAGAUUAUAUCGGGAAAUUCGCUUCUGAUCUCAUCACACAUUGUAUUGGAUCCAUUUCACGCUACACAUGGGUGUGAGAGAAAGUUUUCACAGGUAUUCCCCAAUCUAAAUUCUAUCAAUAAAAACAAUUUUGCAGAACCAAGCCUAGAAACAAUUCACAGUACUACAAAAAAAAUGAAAAUGAAAAUAAAAUGAUCCUACUAACCUGAUCAUGAUCGUUUUGCAGAGCCUCCCGAGACAUAACCAAGAACGAUUGUUGAAGAAAAAGAAGGUCAAUUGCAGAUGUACAGAGGAAGUCAAGCUUUUCGACUCGUUUAUAUUCGAAUCAUACAGCUCAUGCCAACCGAGACGCCGUGUCCUUGGGAACCGCGUCAUAAGUCUUAGUCAGUGGAACCUACGUCGAACGCGUCUCGCCUUCCCCCAAAAGAAACGCUUCUCUUGACGUUGAAACUUGGAACCACAUUUUCUUGAAAUAAUCUUAGAAUAGUUUAUUUGAACCGCGUUGGAACAGUCUUCAUCAAAUCAUCUACAAUUAUUAUUAUUAUUAUAUUUUUCUAAUUUUCUUUGACCCCCAGCAUUUUGCAUUUAAUAUACACUUACCACUUUCUAAUAUACAAAAUUAUCUUCAAGCAUCAAUUAAUAAUAGUUUAAUAUAUAUAUAU
rnacentral:lncRNA from 1 species